rnacentral:rRNA from 1 species
UUUGCCGGCGAGCGGCGGACGGGUGAGUAAUGCAUAGGGAUCUGCCCGGUAGUGGGGGAUAACGUGGGGAAACCCACGCUAAUACCGCAUACGUCCUACGGGAGAAAGGGGGGCUUCGGCUCUCGCUAUCGGAUGAACCUAUGUCGGAUUAGCUUGUUGGUGAGGUAAAGGCUCACCAAGGCGACGAUCCGUAGCUGGUCUGAGAGGAUGAUCAGCCACACUGGGACUGAGACACGGCCCAG